ACGGAAGGCAGCAGUGGGGGAUAUUGCACAAUGGGGGAAACCCUGAUGCAGCGACGCCGCGUGAGGGAAGAAGGUUUUCGGAUUGUAAACCUCUGUCUUGUGGGACGAUAAUGACGGUACCACAGGAGGAAGCCACGGCUAACUACGUGCCAGCAGCCGCGGUAAUACGUAGGUGGCAAGCGUUGUCCGGAAUUACUGGGUGUAAAGGGAGCGUAGGCGGGAAUGCAAGUUGAAUGUUUAAACUAUCGGCUCAACCGAUAAUCGCGUUCAAAACUGCGUUUCUUGAGUGAAGUAGAGGCAAGCGGAAUUCCUAGUGUAGCGGUGAAAUGCGUAGAUAUUAGGAGGAACACCAGUGGCGAAGGCGGCUUGCUGGGCUUUUACUGACGCUGAGGCUCGAAAGUGUGGGUAGCAAACAGGAUUAGAUACCCUGGUA
rnacentral:rRNA from 1 species